rnacentral:rRNA from 1 species
ACACGUAGGAGGCAAACGUUAUCCGGAUUUACUGGGCGUAAAGCGCGUGUAGGUGGUUCUGUAAGUAGGGCGUGAAAGCUCCCGGCUCAACUGGGAGAGGCCGUUCUAAACUGCAGAACUAGAGGAUGGUAGAGGGAGGUGGAAUUUCAGGUGUAGCGGUGGAAUGCGCAGAUAUCUGAAGGAACACCAGUGGCGAAAGCGGCCUCCUGGACCAUUCCUGACACUCAGACGCGAAAGCUAGGGUAGCAAACGGGAUUAGAGACCCCGGUAGUCCUAGCCCUAAACGAUGUAGACUAGACGUCGGUGGUGUAAUAGCUGUCGGUGUCCAAGCUAACGCGAUAAGUCUACCGCCUGGGGACUACGGCCGCAAGGUUAAA